GGAAUGUGUUAUGUGUUAUUGUAGAGGAUGUAAUGUGUUUGUGUUCUUAUGGAAUGUAGUGUAUAGGGAUACCAAUUUGUGUAAGGGAUGUAGUGUGUGUAUAGGGGAUGCAGUGUGUGUUUGCGUGUAAGGAAUGCAUUGUAUGUUUCUGUGUGUGUGUGUGUGUGUGUAAGGGAUGCAAGGUGUGUUUCUGUGCAUGUAAUUUAAUGCAGUGUGUGUCUGUAAG